rnacentral:rRNA from 1 species
GAUGAACGCUGGCGGCGUGCCUAAUACAUGCAAGUCGAGCGAACGGACGAGAAGCUUGCUUCUCUGAUGUUAGCGGCGGACGGGUGAGUAACACGUGGAUAACCUACCUAUAAGACUGGGAUAACUUCGGGAAACCGGAGCUAAUACCGGAUGAUAUUUUGAACCGCAUGGUUCAAAAGUGAAAGACGGUCUUGCUGUCACUUAUAGAUGGAUCCGCGCUGCAUUAGCUAGUUGGUAAGGUAACGGCUUACCAAGGCAACGAUGCAUAGCCGACCUGAGAGGGGGAUCGGCCACACUGGAACUGAGACACGGUCCAGACUCCUACGGGAGGCAGCAGUAGGGAAUCUUCCGCAAUGGGCGAAAGCCUGACGGAGCAACGCCGCGUGAGUGAUGAAGGUCUUCGGAUCGUAAAACUCUGUUAUUAGGGAAGAACAUAUGUGUAAGUAACUGUGCACAUCUUGACGGUACCUAAUCAGAAAGCCACGGCUAACUACGU